GUGGAUUAGAUACCUUGGUAGUCCACACCGUAAACGUUGGGCGCUAGGUGUGGGAUCCAUUCCACGGGUUCCGUGCCGCAGCUAACGCAUUAAGCGCCCCGCCUGGGGAGUACGGCCGCAAGGCUAAAACUCAAAGGAAUUGACGGGGGCCCGCACAAGCGGCGGAGCAUGCGGAUUAAUUCGAUGCAACGCGAAGAACCUUACCUGGGUUUGACAUACGCCGGAAAGCGCCAGAGAUGGUGCCCCUUUUAGUCGGUGUACAGGUGGUGCAUGGUCGUCGACAGCU
rnacentral:rRNA from 1 species